CUACGGGGGGCUCCAGUGGGGAAUAUUGCACAAUGGAGGGAACUCUGAUGCAGCAACGCCGCGUGGAGGAUGACACUUUUCGGAGCGUAAACUCCUUUUAUACAGGAAGAAGAUGAUGGUACUAUAUGAAUAAGCGCCGGCUAACUCCGUGCCAGCAGCCGCGGUAAUACGGAGGGCGCAAGCGUUACUCGGAAUCACUGGGCGUAAAGAGCGUGUAGGCGGAUUAAAAAGUCAGAAGUGAAAUCCUAUAGCUUAACUAUAGAACUGCUUCUGAAACUCUUAAUCUAGAAUAUGGGAGAGGUAGAUGGAAUUUCUGGUGUAGGGGUAAAAUCCGUAGAGAUCAGAAGGAAUACCGAUUGCGAAGGCGAUCUACUAGAACAUUAUUGACGCUGAGACGCGAAAGCGUGGGGAGCAAACAGGAUUAGAUACCCCCGUAGUC
rnacentral:rRNA from 1 species